UGAUAUAUAGCUAAAAUUACAAAGAAUAUUAAUAUCAUACAAUACAUUUACAUCCCAAUAAUUCUUUGUAAUGCCUAUUACAAAGAAUAUUAAUAUCAUACAAUACGUUUACAUCUCAAUAAUGCCAAACUAUCCAUACAUCUCAAAUUCACUUUUCAAUAUAAUUACUACUAUAUUGAAUUGUGAAUUUGAGAAGAUCAAUAAAAAGAUUCACAAAUUAGAGUACAAGGUUGAAUUAAUCGACUUUUCUUGGAUGUUGUAAGGCUUCAAUCAGACCAUUUUUUUCCCUGCAAAAACUUGAGACCAAAUCAAGCAGUUUCAACUUGCACAGCAUGUGGCAUCAUAAAAACUUGCACCAUUUCAUUUGAACUAGGUCCUUAAAAACUGAGUCAUGUUAUCAAACAUAGAAUUGUCACCCUAGCCACACUUACUUGAGUAUUGCUGGAAAUGGGACGAAGAAGGGCACCUGCACCAGCAACUCUUUCUCUUGCACUAGCUAUUGAUGGGAGACGAGACCCCAAAGCAAUUGCAGAGGAAUAUACGACAUGCAGCAGUACCACCACCAAGUGAAUGGCCAACAAUCUGAAAGUAAAAUGGGAAACCUUGGUUACAACACCCAUAUAGAUCAACAGACAUUUAACGACAAUUUUUAUGGAAAAUGACAAUUGGACUUGAAGAAAUGGCCAAUAAUAGGAAGGCUUAAAAAUUCCCUUCCUCUUACAAUCAGAAGAUGCAAA
rnacentral:lncRNA from 1 species